AUACGGAAGGUCCGGGCGUUAUCCGGAUUUAUUGGGUUUAAAGGGAGCGCAGGCGGAGAUGCAAGCGUGACGUCAAAUUUCGGGGCUCAACCCCGUCUCGCGUCGCGAACUGCGUCCCUUGGUUGCGGGAAGGGGAGGCGGAACUCGUGGUGUAGCGGGGGAAUGCAUAGAUAUCACGAAGAACUCCGAUCGCGAAGGCAGCCUUCCGGCCCGUCAACGACGCUCAUGCUCGAAGGUGCGGGUAUCAAACAGGAUUAGAUACCCUGGUAGUCCGCACAGUAAACGAUGGACACCCGCGGUUUGGCCUAUAUGGCUGAGCCGCCAAGCGAAAGCGUUAAGUGUCCCACCUGGGGAGUACGCCGGCAACGGUGAAACUUAAAGGAAUUGACGGGG
rnacentral:rRNA from 1 species